AUAAGGUUAAGUUAAUAAGGGCGCACGGUGGAUGCCUUGGCACUAGAAGCCGAAGAAGGACGUGACUAACGACGAAAUGCUUUGGGGAGCUGUAAGUAAGCGCUGAUCCAGAGAUGUCCGAAUGGGGGAACCCGGCAUGUAAUGCAUGUCAUCCAUGACUGUUAAGGUCAUGAGAAGGAAGACGCAGUGAACUGAAACAUCUAAGUAGCUGCAGGAAGAGAAAGCAAAAGCGAUUGCCUUAGUAGCGGCGAGCGAAACGGCAGGAGGGCAAACCGAGGAGUUUACUCCUCGGGGUUGUAGGACUGCGACGUGGGACUAAAAUUAAUAGAAGAAUUACCUGGGAAGGUAAGCCAAAGAGAGUAAAAGCCUCGUAUUUAAAAUUGAAAUUAGCCCUAGCAGUAUCCUGAGUACGGCGAGACACGCGAAAUCUCGUCGGAAUCUGGGAGGACCAUCUCCCAACCCUAAAUACUCUCUAGUGACCGAUAGUGAACCAGUACCGUGAGGGAAAGGUGAAAAGCACCCCGGGAGGGGAGUGAAAUAGAACCUGAAACCGUGUGCCUACAACAAGUUCGAGCCCGUUAAUGGGUGAGAGCGUGCCUUUUGUAGAAUGAACCGGCGAGUUACGAUAUGAUGCGAGGUUAAGUUGAAGAGACGGAGCCGUAGGGAAACCGAGUCUUAAUAGGGCGACAUAGUAUCAUGUUGUAGACCCGAAACCAUGUGACCUACCCAUGAGCAGGUUGAAGGUGCGGUAAAACGCACUGGAGGACCGAACCAGGGCACGUUGAAAAGUGCUUGGAUGACUUGUGGGUAGCGGAGAAAUUCCAAACGAACUUGGAGAUAGCUGGUUCUCUCCGAAAUAGCUUUAGGGCUAGCGUCGAUGUUAAGUCUCUUGGAGGUAGAGCACUGUUUGGGUGAGGGGUCCAUCCCGGAUUACCAAUCUCAGAUAAACUCCGAAUGCCAAGACGAUAUAAUCGGCAGUCAGACUGCGAGUGCUAAGAUCCGUAGUCGAAAGGGAAACAGCCCAGACCACCAGCUAAGGUCCCAAAAUAAUUGUUAAGUGGAAAAGGAUGUGGGGUUGCACAGACAACUAGGAUGUUAGCUUAGAAGCAGCUAUUCAUUCAAAGAGUGCGUAAUAGCUCACUAGUCGAGUGACCCUGCGCCGAAAAUGUACCGGGGCUAAAACAAUUUACCGAAGCUGUGGAUUACCUUAAGAGGUAAUGGUAGGAGAGCGUUCUAUAUGUGAAGAAGGUAUACCGUGAGGAGUGCUGGAACGUAUAGAAGUGAGAAUGCCGGUAUGAGUAGCGAAAGACAGGUGAGAAUCCUGUCCACCGUAAGACUAAGGUUUCCAGGGGAAGGCUCGUCCGCCCUGGGUUAGUCGGGACCUAAGGAGAGACCGAAAGGUGUAUUCGAUGGCCAACAGGUUGAUAUUCCUGUACUAGUGUAUAUAGUGAUGGAGGGACGCAGAAGGCUAACUAAACCAGACGACUGGAAGAGUCUGGCCAAUCAGUGAGGCGUGAUAUGAGUCAAAUGCUUAUAUCUAUAACGUUGAGCUGUGAUGGGGAGCGAAUUAAGUAGCGAAGUUAGUGAUGUCACACUGCCAAGAAAAGCUUCUAGCGUUUAAGUAUACACUACCCGUACCGCAAACCGACACAGGUAGUCGAGGCGAGUAGCCUCAGGUGAUCGAGAGAACUCUCGUUAAGGAACUCGGCAAAAUGACCCCGUAACUUCGGGAGAAGGGGUGCUGUCAGCGAUGACAGCCGCAGUGAAUAGGCCCAAGCAACUGUUUAUCAAAAACACAGCUCUCUGCUAAAUCGUAAGAUGAUGUAUAGGGGGUGACGCCUGCCCGGUGCUGGAAGGUUAAGAGGAGUGCUUAGCGUAAGCGAAGGUAUGAAUUGAAGCCCCAGUAAACGGCGGCCGUAACUAUAACGGUCCUAAGGUAGCGAAAUUCCUUGUCGGGUAAGUUCCGACCCGCACGAAAGGCGUAAUGAUUUGGGCACUGUCUCAACGAGAGACUCGGUGAAAUUUUAGUACCUGUGAAGAUGCAGGUUACCCGCGACAGGACGGAAAGACCCCAUGGAGCUUUACUGCAGUUUGAUAUUGAGUAUCUGUACCACAUGUACAGGAUAGGUAGGAGCCAUUGAAGACGGGACGCCAGUUUCGUUAGAGGCGAUGUUGG
rnacentral:rRNA from 1 species